GAGAUUCAGUCAGAGAUUCAAAAAAGUUGCCUUGUGUUCGCCUAUUACAAAACAUGAAGCAAAAGAUAAUUGUGAAAGUGCAAAUGAACUGUGACAAAUGCAGAACCAAAGCCAUGAAGAUUGCUGCAGUUG